AACGAACGCUGGCGGCAGGCUUAACACAUGCAAGUCGAGCGCCCGUAGCAAUACGGGAGCGGCGCACGGGUGAGUAACGCGUGGGAACCUGUCCCGCGGUACGGCACAACCCAGGGAAACUUGGGCUAAUACCGUAUACGCACUAUGGUGGAAAGAAUUUCGCCGUGGGAGGGGCCCGCGUAGGAUUAGCUAGUUGGUGAGGUAAUGGCUCACCAAGGCUUCGAUCCUUAGCUGGUCUGAGAGGAUGAUCAGCCACACUGGGACUGAGACACGGCCCAGACUCCUACGGGAGGCAGCAGUGGGGAAUAUUGGACAAUGGGCGCAAGCCUGAUCCAGCCAUGCCGCGUGAAUGAUGAAGGUCUUAGGAUUGUAAAAUUCUUUCACCGGGGGACGAUAAUGACGGUACCCGGAGAAGAAGCCCCGGCUAACUUCGUGCCAGCAGCCGCGGUAAU
rnacentral:rRNA from 1 species